rnacentral:lncRNA from 1 species
CUAAGAUAUAUUAUCAGUUCAGCUGUUGAUUUCUUUUUUUCUUCUUUUCCUGUUGAGAUUUACUUUUUUAUAAUUUUUUAUAAGUACACAAUUGAACUACACAAUGAUCACAGUCCUUGUGGGGAGUCAGUACAUGUACAUAACAGAUCAUAAUCCUAUUUUUUUAAAAGUUUUGGAGUUCAAGAAUUAAAGGAGUCAUGACUACACACCAAGGAAUGACACAGGGGAUCUGAUGGCCACUGACCCAGGAUGUCAAAGAGAGCUGCAGUCAAAGAGCAAUGGAAGGUUAUGGAGAAGAGACGUCUUAAGGAGUGAAGGUGCUGGCACAAGUACCCGAGAGGAAGGUUUACCAGCGCCUUCCUGGCCUCGCCCACGAGGUCUUCCUCUCAAGGUGACAGUUUGCGGCUCACAUUAGGAGCUGAAAAUUGACAACGGUCGGCUGGUGCUUGUCAGACCUGCGAG